GCCCGUGUGGCUCAGUGGUUAGAGCGUCCGCCCCCGGACUGGAGGGUCCUGGGUUCGAGUCCGCUCAUGGGCA
rnacentral:tRNA from 1 species